rnacentral:rRNA from 1 species
AUUGAACGCUGGCGGCAUGCCUUACACAUGCAAGUCGAACGGCAGCACGGGAGCAAUCCUGGUGGCGAGUGGCGAACGGGUGAGUAAUAUAUCGGAACGUGCCCGGUCGUGGGGAUAACGUAGCGAAAGCUACGCUAAUACCGCAUACGAUCUACGGAUGAAAGCGGGGGAUCGCAAGACCUCGCGCGAUUGGAGCGGCCGAUAUCAGAUUAGGUAGUUGGUGAGGUAAAGGCUCACCAAGACCGACGAUCUGUAGCUGGUCUGAGAGGACGACCAGCCACACUGGGACUGAGACACGGCCCAGACUCCUACGGGAGGCAGCAGUGGGGAAUUUUGGACAAUGGGCGCAAGCCUGAUCCAGCAAUGCCGCGUGCAGGAUGAAGGCCUGGUGUAACUAGCUUUGUAC